GUUAAAUCUGAGGUGCACACUAAACAUUCAUGAGGAGAAACUAAAGAAGUGGUUGAAUACAUAUGAGUCUGGGUUAGAGAGGGAGUCUCAGUAGUGUUGGGAUUUGAGUAGUUGGAAUAUAAAGUCACCAUCCCAGACAAGAUCACCAAGAGCAAAAGACCAUAGAAGACAGUUUCUGAGCACCUAUAUUCCAAAGUCCAGAAGAAGAGGAGGAACCAGCAAUUAACGAGUAGUCGGUGGGGAAGCAGGUAGAAAACCUAAAGGGAAUGGGAUUCUGGGAAGCUAGAGAAAAAGGUAUAUCAAAGAGGAGGGAAUGACUAACUUGAAAGUUGUUGCAACUAAGCUGAAAGGAGAGAAUUGACCACCUCACUAGAAAACAAGGAGGAGAAACCAUUUCCCUUGGUGAGAGCAGUUUUGGUGGAGUUGGUGGUGGAGCAGGGAACAGCUGGAUUUCAGUAUGUUCCUAGAGAAUGUGAAGAGGAAAACCAGAGAUAUUCCUUUGAAGAAUUUUUAUUGGAAUUCAGAGUAGAUAAACAGAAAAAUAUCAUGCAUCCUGUCUUAAAAAAAAAAAAAAGAACAGAGCCCCUUUGCAAGUCACUGGAUGCUCUUCCACUAGCCCUUCACCCUCUUUGCCUGGUCUGAAGGAACCAGACCCCCUGGCAACCCCGUUCUCAGACCUCUGAGGAAAUAUGUGUAGCUGGAACCUUUGAACCUGCACCUAAUGAAGAAUGUUAUGGACCACAGUACUCCCAUUAUUGAUGAACUGCCCUAAACUUCUUUAAAAACCCUUGGCCCAGGCAAAAACGGAAGAGUCGGUCUCUAUGGACAAUAGUAAGAGUCUGACGUCUCUCCAGGUGGCCAGCCUCCUGAAUAAAUCUUAUAUUCCUUUCCAAUUAAAAUCUAUCACUUGA